UACGUAGGGUGCGAGCGUUAAUCGGAAUUACUGGGCGUAAAGCGUGCGCAGGCGGUGAUGUAGGACAGGUGUGAAAUCCCCGGGCUUAACCUGGGAACUGCAUUUGUGACUGCAUCGCUGGAGUGCGGCAGAGGGGGAUUGAAUUCCGCGUGUAGCAGUGAAAUGCGUAGAUAUGCGGAGGAACACCGAUGGCGAAGGCAAUCCCCUGGGCCUGCACUGACGCUCAUGCACGAAAGCGUGGGGAGCAAACAGG
rnacentral:rRNA from 1 species